UACGUAGGGUGCGAGCGUUGUCCGGAAUUAUUGGGCGUAAGGGGCUCGUAGGCGGUUUGUCGCGUCUGCCGUGAAAACCCGAGGCUUAACCUCGUGGCUUGCGGUGGAUACGGGCAGACUAGAGGUAGGUAGGGGAGAAUGGAAUUCCCGGUGUAGCGGUGAAAUGCGCAGAUAUCGGGAGGAACACCGGUGGCGAAGGCGGUUCUCUGGGCCUUACCUGACGCUGAGGAGCGAAAGCGUGGGGAGCGAACAGG
rnacentral:rRNA from 1 species